rnacentral:rRNA from 1 species
AUUGAACGCUGGCGGCAGGCCUAACACAUGCAAGUCGAGCGGCAGCGGGAAAGUAGCUUGCUACUUUUGCCGGCGAGCGGCGGACGGGGGAGUAAUGCCUGGGAAAUUGCCGAGUCGAGGGGGAUAACAGUUGGAAACGACUGCUAAUACCGCAUACGCCCUACGGGGGAAAGCAGGGGACCUUCGGGCCUUGCGCGAUUGGAUAUCCCCAGGUGGGAUUAGUUAGUUGGUGAGGUAAUGGCUCACCAAGGCGACGAUCCCUAGCUGGUCUGAGAGGAUGAUCAGCCACACUGGAACUGAGACACGGUCCAGACUCCUACGGGAGGCAGCAGUGGGGAAUAUUGCACAAUGGGGGAAACCCUGAUGCAGCCAUGCCGCGUGUGUGAAGAAGGCCUUCGGGUUGUAAAGCACUUUCAGCGAGGAGGAAAGGCCAGUAGCUAAUAUCUGCUGGCUGUGACGUUACUCGCAGAAGAAGCACCGGCUAACUCCGUGCCAGCCGCCGCGGUAACAC